GGAAGUAAAAGUCGUAACAAGGUUUCCGUAGGUGAACCUGCGGAAGGAUCAUUACCUAGAGUUGUAGGCUUUGCCUGCUAUCUCUUACCCAUGUCUUUUGAGUACCUUACGUUUCCUCGGUGGGUUCGCCCACCGAUUGGACAAACUUAAACCCUUUGCAGUUGAAAUCAGCGUCUGAAAAAACUUAAUAGUUACAACUUUCAACAACGGAUCUCUUGGUUCUGGCAUCGAUGAAGAACGCAGCGAAAUGCGAUAAGUAGUGUGAAUUGCAGAAUUCAGUGAAUCAUCGAAUCUUUGAACGCACAUUGCGCCCCUUGGUAUUCCAUGGGGCAUGCCUGUUCGAGCGUCAUUUGUACCUUCAAGCUCUGCUUGGUGUUGGGUGUUUGUCUCCUGUAGACUCGCCUUAAAACAAUUGGCAGCCGGCGUAUUGAUUUCGGAGCGCAGUACAUCUCGCGCUUUGCACUCAUAACGACGACAUCCAAAAGUACAUUUUUACACUCUUGACCUCGGAUCAGGUAGGGAUACCCGCUGAACUUAAGCAUAUCAAUAAGCGGAGGA
rnacentral:rRNA from 5 species